CCUACGGGUGGCAGCAGUGAGGAAUAUUGGUCAAUGGGCGAGAGCCUGAACCAGCCAAGUAGCGUGAAGGAAGACUGCCCUACGGGUUGUAAACCUCUUUUAUAAAGGAGUAAAGCGAGGCACGUGUGCCUUAUUGAAUGUACCCGACGAAUAAGGAUCGGCUAACUCCGUGCCAGCAGCCGCGGUAAUACGGAGGAUCCGAGCGUUAUCCGGAUUUAUUUGGGGUGAAGGGUGCGUAGAUGGGUGGUUAAGUCAGGGGUGACAGUUUGGGGCUCAACCGGAAAAUUGCAAUUGAUACUGGAAGCCUUGAGUGCGGUAGAGGUAGGCGGAAUGCGUGGUGUAGCGGUGAAAUGCUUAGAUAUCACGAAGAACUCCGAUUGCGAAGGCAGCCUACUGAACUGCAACUGACGUUGCUGCUCGAAAGUGUGGGUAUCAAACAGGAUUAGAUACCCUAGUAGUC
rnacentral:rRNA from 1 species